rnacentral:rRNA from 1 species
GAUGAACGCUAGCGGCAGGCCUAACACAUGCAAGUCGAGGGGUAACAGGGAGAAGCUUGCUUUUCCGCUGACGACCGGCGCACGGGUGCGUAACGCGUAUACAAUCUGCCUUAUACUGGGGUAUAGCCUUUAGAAAUGAAGAUUAGUCCCCCAUAGUCUCUUAGAGUGGCAUCAUUUUAGGAGUAAAGGUUACGGUAUAAGAUGAGUAUGCGUUCUAUUAGUUUGUUGGUGAGGUAACGGCUCACCAAGGCUACGAUAGAUAGGGGCCCUGAGAGGGGGAUCCCCCACACUGGUACUGAGACACGGACCAGACUCCUACGGGAGGCAGCAGUGAGGAAUAUUGGACAAUGGAGGCAACUCUGAUCCAGCCAUGCCGCGUGCAGGAAGACUGCCCUAUGGGUUGUAAACUGCUUUUAUAUAGGAAGAAACCUACUUACGUGUAAGUAGCUGACGGUACUAUAAGAAUAAGGAUCGGCUAACUCCGUGCCAGCAGCCGCGGUAAUACGGAGGAUCCAAGCGUUAUCCGGAAUC